GACAGAGGGUGCAAACGUUGCUCGGAAUCACUGGGCGUAAAGGGCGCGUAGGCGGAUAGAUAAGUCGGGCGUGAAAUCCCUAGGCUCAACCUAGGAACUGCACUCGAAACUGUUUGUCUUGAGUACCGGAGAGGAAAGCGGAAUACCUGGUGUAGAGGUGAAAUUCGUAGAUAUCAGGAGGAACACCUGCGGUGUAGACGGCUUACUGGACCAUAACUGACGCUGAGGCACGAAAGCGUGGGUAGCAAACAGG
rnacentral:rRNA from 1 species